rnacentral:snoRNA from 1 species
AUUCAGCAAUCCCUGAGCUAUGGCUGCACACUGUUGGAAAUACUUCACAGAAUAACUCUGUGGUUUUGUUUUGCCUAUAGUUCUAUUUUUUAGGCCUGUGAAAAGGGACUACAAGACAGAA